rnacentral:lncRNA from 1 species
GUCGCUGUCACUGCUGGGUGUCACCAGGGUGGUGUCACUGUCACUGCUGGGGUGUCACCAGGGUGGUGUCACUGUCACAGGUGGGGUGUCACCAGGGUGGUGUCGCUGUCACCCGUGCGGUGUCCCCGGUGUGAAAUCCCCACGAAGUUGUCACGGGGCGGGGUGUCACCCGGCUGUUGUCACCGGUCCGGUGUUGGUGCCAAGCCCGGUGUCCCCUUGUCACCCGCAGAGAGCCGCCUGGCCCUGCUGCUGUCCCUGUCCCUGCUGGGCUCCGUCACCGCGCUGGGGGCGGCCGCGUGGGGCAUCUACUACCUGAAGAGCACCGCCUGUAAGAAGGGGGAGUACAACGUGCGCGACGCCGAGGGUUCCUCCGAGGCCGCCCGCCUGCACCGCGGGGACAGCGGGGGACAACGGGAGCUCUUCGGGAUCCCGCUCACCCCCACCUGAGGGACGACGCCACCCGAGCCCCCCCCGGGGAACGCGGGCAUGUGGUGGGGACGGCGCGGUGACGUCCGCCCCGAGUGGUGGUGUUGGGUGUCGCCGCGCUGUCCCCGUGGGGGUGGGGGUGGUGGUGGUGGUGGCGGGGGGUCGCCGCAUUGUCCUCGAGGAAUGGUGUUGGAUGUCGUCAUGCUGUCCCCAAGGAGCGGUGUUGGAUGUCAUCGUACUGUCCCCAAGGAGCAGUGUUGUUGGAUGUCACCACAAUGUCUCCGAGGAAUGGUGUUGGAUGUCACCACACUGUCCCCAAGAAACAGUCUUGGAUGUCCCCAAGAAACAGUGUUGGAUGUCACCACACUGUCCCCAAGGAGCGGUGUUGUUGGAUGUCUCCAAGGAGCAGUGUUGGAUGUCACCACACUGUCCCCAAGAAACAGUGUUGGAUGUCCCCAAGGAACAGUGUUGGAUGUCACCACACUGUCCCCAAGGAGCGGUGUUGUUGGAUGUCUCUGAGGAACAGUGGUGUUGGAUGUCACCACAAUGUCUCCGAGGAGUGAUGUCGUCGUACUGUCCCCAAGGAGCGGUGUUGUUGGAUGUCAUCGUACUGUCCCCAAGGAACGGUGUUGUUGGAUGUCACCGCAAUGUCUCCGAGGAACGGUGUUGGAUGUCACCACACUGUCCCCAAGGAGUGAUGUUGUCGUACUGUCCUCAAGGAGCGGUGUUGUUGGAUGUCUCCGAGGAACGGUGUUGUUGGAUGUCACUGCAAUGUCUCCAAGGAACGGUGUUGGAUGUCACCGUAGUGUCUCCGAGGAGCGGUGUCAUCGUGCUGUCCCCAAGGAACGGUGUUGUUGGAUGUCACCACAAUGUCUCCGAGGAACGGUGUUGGAUGUCACCACACUGUCCCCAAGGAGUGAUGUCGUCGUACUGUCCCCAAGGAGCGGUGUUGUUGGAUGUCAUCGUACUGUCCCCAAGGA